rnacentral:rRNA from 1 species
UACAGAGGGUGCGAGCGUUGUUCGGAAUUAUUGGGCGUAAAGAGCGUGUAGGCGGCCAUACAGGUCAGCUGUGAAAACUCGAGGCUCAACCUCGAGACGUCGGUUGAAACCGUAUGGCUAGAGUCCGGAAGAGGAGAGUGGAAUUCCCGGUGUAGCGGUGAAAUGCGCAGAUAUCGGGAAGAACACCCGUGGCGAAAGCGGCUUCCUGGUCCGACACCGACGUUCAGGCACGAAAGCGUGGGGAGCAAACAGG